rnacentral:rRNA from 1 species
UACGGGGGGGGGCAAGCGUUGUUCGGAAUUACUGGGCGUAAAGCGCGCGUAGGCGGACCUGCAAGUCGGGGGUGAAAGCCCGAGGCUCAACCUCGGAACUGCCUUCGAUACUGCGGGUCUCGAGUCCGGGAGAGGUGAGUGGAAUUCCUAGUGUAGAGGUGAAAUUCGUAGAUAUUGGGAGGAACACCGGUGGCGAAGGCGGCCCCCUGGACCGGUACUGACGCUGAGGCGCGAAAGCGUGGGUAGCAAACGGG